rnacentral:tRNA from 1 species
GGGGCUAUAGCUCAGAUGGGAGAGCACCUGCAUGGCAUGCAGAAGGGCAGCGGUUCGAAUCCGCUUAGCUCCACCA